CUAGUACAUAUUGCAGGCCAUUUUUUUUCCCACAGUGGUCUCUUCUCACUCAGGAUCCUUGGAUCCUUUAGACUGUUUCAGGUUUUCUCAUGGAUUUCAUCACCGACCCCAUACAGGACUCGCUGCCCCUCCCAUACGGAUGUCCCAGCCGGACACCACCGCCUUACAUGCAGAACUCUGCAAACUCAGAGACAAGGGUGCAAUCAAACCCUCUUCAUCCCACCUCAGAUU